UACGGAGGAUGCGAGCGUUAUCCGGAUUUAUUGGGUUUAAAGGGUGCGUAGGCGGGCUUUUAAGUCAGCGGUAAAAAUUCGGGGCUCAACCCCGUCCGGCCGUUGAAACUGGGGGUCUUGAGUGGGCGAGAAGAAGGCGGAAUGCGUGGUGUAGCGGUGAAAUGCAUAGAUAUCACGCAGAACCCCGAGUGCGAAGGCAGCCUUCCGGCGCCCUACUGACGCUGAGGCACGAAAGUGCGGGGAUCGAACAGG
rnacentral:rRNA from 1 species